GACGAACGCUGGCGGUGUGCCUAAUACAUGCAAGUUGAGCGAUGAAGAUUGGUGCUUGCCCCAAUUUGAAGAGCAGCGAACGGGUGAGUAACGCGUGGGGAAUCUGCCUUUGAGCGGGGGACAACAUUUGGAAACGAAUGCUAAUACCGCAUAACAACUUUAAACAUAAGUUUUAAGUUUGAAAGAUGCAAUUGCAUCACUCAAAGAUGAUCCCGCGUUGUAUUAGCUAGUUGGUGAGGUAAAGGCCCACCAAGGCGAUGAUACAUAGCCGACCUGAGAGGGUGAUCGGCCACAUGGGGACUGAGACACGGCCCAAACUCCUACGGGAGGCAGCAGUAGGGAAUCUUCGGCAAUGGACGAAAGUCUGACCGAGCAACGCCGCGUGAGUGAAGAAGGGUUUCGGAUCGUAAAACUCUGUUGGUAGAGAAGAACGUUGGUGAGAGUGGAAAGCUCAUCAAGUGACGGUAACUACCCAGAAAGGGACGGCUAACUACGUG
rnacentral:rRNA from 1 species